CCCUUAGAUGUUCUGGGCCGCACGCGCGCUACACUGAUACGUUCAGCGAGUAUAUAACCUUGAUUGGAAAAUCUGGGUAAUCUUUUGAAUGCGUAUCGUGCUAGGGAUAGAUUAUUGCAAUUAUUAAUCUUGAACGAGGAAUUCCUAGUAAACGCAAGUCCUCAGCUUGCAUUGAUUACGUCCCUGCCCUUUGUACACACCGCCUGUCGCACAAACCGAUUGAAUGAUUCGGUGAAAAUUUUGGACAUCGAGAGUGGUGAUUAAUUUCGCUGCUCUUAAAUGGAAAGAAUUUAAACCUAAUUAUUUAGAGGAUUGUGAAGUCAUAACA
rnacentral:rRNA from 1 species